AAUUUUGGACAAUGGGCGCAAGCCAGAUCCAGCAAUGCCGCGUGCAGGAUGAAGGCCUNCGGGUUNUNAACUGCUUUCGUACGGANCGAAUAGCCCUGGGUUAAUACCCUGGGGUCAUGACGGUACCGUAAGAAUAAGCACCGGCUAACUACGUGCCAGCAGCCGCGGUAAUACGGAGGGUGCGAGCGUUAAUCGGAAUUACUGGGCGUAAAGCGUGCGCAGGCGGUUUUGUAAGGCAGAGGUGAAAUCCCCGGGAUCAACCUGGGAACUGCCUUAGUGACAGCAAGGCUAGAGUACGGCAGAGGGGGAUGGAAUUCCGCGUGUAGCAGUGAAAUGCGUAGAUAUGCGGAGGAACACCGAUGGAGAAGGCAAUCCCCUGGGCCUGUACUGACGCUCAUGCACGAAAGCGUGGGGAGCAAACAGG
rnacentral:rRNA from 1 species